GGGAAUGUUGUGUAUGGAUAACGAUCCUUUAUCGGUCGACCACUCCGGCUGAGCAACAAAAUCGGCUGAUGAGGGGGAAUGUUGUGUAUGGAUAACGAUCCUUUAUUGGUCGACCACUCCGGCUGAGCAACAAAAUCGGCUGAUGAGGGGGAAUGUUUUGGGGGAGCAUGGCUUUCAGACUGGAUCAACAGCAAGAGUUAGUAUAUAUGUGUAAAAAUAAGGGAAAAUGAAAAUCAGCUGAGCAAAAGAAGAAUACCUCAGCGUUCGGAUCGAUGUUGGCUGGAUCCAGGAGAUUGCAGUAUACUAAUGCAGAGGCACAGAAGAGGUACUGUUUCCAUUCAGCCCACCAUAGUUUGAACUGUUGAACGGCGAAAGGAGCUACUAUCCAACCGGUCAGAUCUAUGGUGUCAGAGUCUGGGAUCCGGUCACGCAG
rnacentral:lncRNA from 1 species